UACGUAGGGGGCAAGCGUUGUCCGGAUUUAUUGGGCGUAAAGCGCUCGCAGGUGGUUCGUCGCGUCGUGCGUGAAAGACCCCGGCUCAACUGGGGGGUGUCGUGCGAUACGGGCGGACUGGAGGCCAGUAGGGGGAUGCGGAAUUCCGGGUGUAGUGGUGGAAUGCGUAGAGAUCCGGAGGAACACCAGCGGCGAAGGCGGCAUCCUGGACUGGUCCUGACACUCAUGAGCGAAAGCGUGGGGAGCGAUCCGG
rnacentral:rRNA from 1 species